rnacentral:rRNA from 1 species
AUUGAACGCUGGCGGCAUGCUUUACACAUGCAAGUCGAACGGUAACAGGCCGCAAGGUGCUGACGAGUGGCGAACGGGUGAGUAAUGCAUCGGAACGUGCCCAGUCGUGGAGGAUAACGCAGCGAAAGCUGCGCUAAUACCGCAUACGAUCUAUGGAUGAAAGCGGGGGACCGUAAGGCCUCGCGCGAUUGGAGCGGCCGAUGUCAGAGUAGGUAGUUGGUGGGGUAAAGGCUCACCAAGCCAACGAUCUGUAGCUGGUCUGAGAGGACGACCAGCCACACUGGGACUGAGACACGGCCCAGACUCCUACGGGAGGCAGCAGUGGGGAAUUUUGGACAAUGGGCGCAAGCCUGAUCCAGCAAUGCCGCGUGCAGGAAGAAGGCCUGCGGGUUGUAAACUGCUUUUGUACGGAACGAAACGGUCCUGGUUAAUACCUGGGGCUAAUGACGGUACCGUAAGAAUAAGCACCGGCUAACUACGUGCCAGCCGCCGCAGUAAAAC